UUUCACUUAAGUGAGGCGACAAUUCUGUGAAUGAUUUGCUGACUUAAAAAAUUUUAUAUUGUUCAAUACAAAAUCCGUUUCUUUUUCUUUCACGGCAAAAGACAUGUUAUUACUAAAUCUCAAUGCUAUUACAAAAAUUAACCAGACACAUCACAGUUAAAUUACGCUUACAUUAUGCGGACAUCUAAGUUUCGAUCCUCUCGAUCUGCGUCACAAAGAAAUUGGAGGUAUAAUAUAAUUUUACUGGCACGCAUAUAUGUUAACACGUCCAACCAGCAAUAAGCCAAUAAUAAUCUUUUUGUGUAUAAACAAGUUCCGAACUUGAUCGUUGCACAGAAUAAUACUACAACGAUGUUGAACCACAUGAUCCGUUUGGCCAAAUCGCUGUGUCAGCAAAUAUAGGGCAGGGCUAGCUUCACAUAAGAAUCUUUUUGUAUUUUUAGUUUUAGUUUGAUUUGAACAUUAAAACGGCACACGACGAAAAUACUUUUGUCUUUAAUUCGUAAAACCAAACAAGUGAAGACGAGAAACACUAACCGGCGCCCAACGGUGGUUCGAACUACUCAACCCAAAAUUUGUAAGCAGCAACUCAGCAUCGCUGGAUCGGCAACGCGGGAACUGCAACAAAACAAAACAACGCAAACCAAAUAAAAAAAAAAUAAUUUAAGAUAAUAACGAAAUAAACAAAGCUGAGAAAGUCAUACCCGUUAUUGCUCAAUAUCAUUGGUAUUAUCGCAAUUAUCCAGACAAAUCACUCCACGAACUGAGAUCGGCCUUGGGUCGAAGUCGUUCUCCACCUUAAUCAUCAUGAGACGUAUACCAUCGCUGGACCAAGAGGCGACACCAGUUGUACCGUUAGACCACCAAUUGAUUCAC